GACGAACGCUGGCGGCGUGCCUAAUACAUGCAAGUCGAGCGAGUCUGCCUUGAAGAUCGGAGUGCUUGCACUCUGUGAAACAAGAUACAGGCUAGCGGCGGACGGGUGAGUAACACGUGGGUAACCUGCCCAAGAGAUCGGGAUAACACCUGGAAACAGAUGCUAAUACCGGAUAACAACAGAUGAUGCCUAUCAACUGUUUAAAAGAUGGUUCUGCUAUCACUCUUGGAUGGACCUGCGGUGCAUUAGCUAGUUGGUAGGGUAACGGCCUACCAAGGCGAUGAUGCAUAGCCGAGUUGAGAGACUGAUCGGCCACAUUGGGACUGAGACACGGCCCAAACUCCUACGGGAGGCAGCAGUAGGGAAUCUUCCACAAUGGACGCAAGUCUGAUGGAGCAACGCCGCGUGAGUGAAGAAGGGUUUCGGCUCGUAAAGCUCUGUUGUUGGUGAAGAAGGACAGGGGUAGUAACUGACCUUUGUUUGACGGUAAUCAAUUAGAAGGUCACGGCUAACUACGUGCCAGCAGCCGCGGUAAUACGUAGGUGGCAAGCGUUGUCCGGAUUUAUUGGGCGUAAAGCGAGUGCAGGCGGCUCGAUAAGUCUGAUGUGAAAGCCUUCGGCUCAACCGGAGAAUUGCAUCAGAAACUGUCGAGCUUGAGUACAGAAGAGGAGAGUGGAACUCCAUGUGUAGCGGUGAAAUGCGUAGAUAUAUGGAAGAACACCGGUGGCGAAGGCGGCUCUCUGGUCUGUUACUGACGCUGAGGCUCGAAAGCAUGGGUAGCGAACAGG
rnacentral:rRNA from 1 species